AGAAGGGAAUCCCCCAGGGGCUGGGCCUGGGUUGGGAUCUGCAGAAGCAGAGGAGGAAUAGUUGAGUUUAAGUGCAGGGCAUUGGUUGGAGGUCAGCAUCUGUAGAAAUAAGAGGAAGAUGUGUACUGGGCAAAGGGAGAGCCCCAUCAGUGAUGUGAGCCUGGCAAUGUGGAGGCCGACCCAGCGGGGAGCCCUGGAGGGAAUGGCGUCCGCUGGAGUUAUCCCAGGGCAGGCUGAUGUGCUGGCCUUUCUUCUCCGACUCACCCCUGACAUAGGCUGCCUGGGAUAAAAGCAGACCAUAGGCAGGGCAGUUCUACAGCUGAUGGACACUGAGGGGGCUAGAGGCUGUCUGCAGACCACUCUUCCCCAUGGCUGAGAAGCAAGUCCUUCCUUGAAGAGGGACCUUAGUGACAGAUCUCCAUGUCCGUCAAGAUGUAUUCUAUCUCCGUGUGAUGGGCAAAGGCAUUCCUCGCUUUAGGUCAGCAAUUCUGCUACCUGAAAAGUAAAGAAAAUCUGUCCCAUCAACCUUAGAUGGAACAAUUUCAGGAGAGAGUUCAGUUUGGAUCACCUGAUCAUCAUUUGUCAUCCUGGCUUCCAUGGUGUCUGAGGACAGAAGGAUACCGUACCUGGUCUCAUGUGGCUGUCUGGACUUCUCAUCAGACCAAAGAGAAUGAAGAUGAGCAUCAGAAACACUACAAAGGAGACCGUGAGGCUGAUUGAAAAGCUGUGGCCUGAUACCACUGAGGCUCGUCCUUCCGAGAAAGAGGACACGUUCACAAACACAGUACACAAGUGGCUGUGGAGCUCAAUGGAGGGAAGCCGUGGUCAGAUGCCAGAAUGACGAGCUUAUGACAGGAAGCUGCUUCUCUAUCCAGACUGUGGAGCAACACCAGGGAGUCAGCAGGAUGCGGCUGCAGUCCCAACUCUGCUGUUUAUGAGUCAUGUAUUUUGGAAAAGAUAAUGAACAUCUCAGCUGACUUCCUACCUUCUACACACAAUUGAUUUUCAGUAUUUUUCUCACGGUCAUAACAAGCCCUCAGUGGAGAGUAUGAGUUUGGCGUUGCUCCUGCCAAUAAAGAGUUCAAGCUUUUUGAACUUGAAUAUUUUUGCUACAGAAACUGAAUAUUUAAACCUUUAAAUUAACUCUUAUUUGCCUAAAGUUUUUUUUUUCCCAUUCUGUUUCAUAAAUACACAGGUAUGUACUCUGCAGAUUCAUUCACAUGCUACAACAGGAAGCCCUACUAAGACCACUCACACGGGCAAGAAUCCCCUCAGUUCUACCAUUUACUAGCUGUGUAUUCUUGGCAAACAACUUUAUUCUCUGAACUUUAAUUUCCUCUUUCUGUAAAUCUUAAUCGGUUAUGAGAAAUCGACAUUUAAAGCAGCUCCAUAAAUGGCAACUAUUGUGAUUAUUAAUAUGCCUCUUGCCAUGGGUUAUAAUGGUGCUUGAUUUUUGAGUUCCCCAAAAACAAGAAGUGUGGCAUGUGUCUUUACAUCCCCAGCCUCAUGCUUCGUAAAUAGUUUUUAAAAAUUCAGAAAUAUCAGUCAGAUAGAACUUAAGGUCUAUUUUAUAGUUUGUCAUCACCUCUCCACUGAGCUUUCUUAUAUAUGGCUUAAUAAGAGGCCUAAAAAUUAUUUAAUUUUUCUUUAAUGCCUCAGUAUAUUGAGUAUAAUCAGAACUGAAAAUAUCUUUUUCUCCUUCAUUUUAGAAUUGGGAAUAUUUUCUUCAAUUGGACAAAUAGCGGUACUUCAAAAGUAAAGUUAAAAGCUGAAUGUUACCAUUUCCAAAGCAUCCACUAACUAUGCAGUAGACAAGGGAAAAGUGAUCCUAUAUUUCCUGUUACUUUAAGUAUCAGGGAAAGCACUAAGGAGGAAGAGAAGCCACAUGGGGGUGGAUACAGGGGAAAGCAUGAACAGGCAGGAGGUUUAAAAUACUUCCUUAAAAAAAAAAAUUAAAAUAAAAUAAAAUAAAAUACUUCCUUGCUCUGGUGAUAGUUGAGACUGUGUAUGUGUGUGUGUCUGUGUGUCUGUGUGUGGUUGUCUCUGUAUCUCUCUGUGGCCCUGUGUGUAUAGUUCAAAUUCUCUCAGUUCUCCAGGCCUUGAGUUAAAUUCUUCAUGGUGAAUUGGAGAGGGGCACUUUUAAAUAUUGGGACCAAUUUAGACGUUGGGAACAUUGAAACAAUGACGCAAAUAGGAAAAAGCUUAAAGGAGUCUGAUUUAAUUGCUAAUUAGGCUCCAUUGAGUAAGAAGAACAUAAGGACAGAAGGUCAUUACAAUCCAGAAGUGCUUAGUUUCUGGAACACAGCAGAUCUUCAAUAAGCUCUGAAUUUGUCAUCACUCAGGUGGCAUGGGGCUGAGACUUAACCUACAGUCAUCUACAGAGCAAGAAAAUCAGCUGUAUGCGUAAAACGACUGUAGAGACAAGGUAGCAGAGACUGGUUGUAACAUAGUCAUACAGCCGGUUUUAAUAUAUUUAUACAAUAAGCAUCAUAACAAUUGAUUACAUUAAAAUAUUACCGAACAGAAUCCUACUAGUUAAUACAGGAUAAGGCCUUAAACUUUGCAAAUGCUUUUGAAGUCAUAUUUUGAAAUAUAUUAAACAAAAAGAACUAAACAAUCAAAUUUUUAGAGCCAGGAAGGUUUUCAGAGGUUAAUGAAUUCAACCCGUCCUGUAACAGAUCCCACUGUAAUCAGCUCAGCCACAUGCAUCUACUGCACUUUCUUCAUUAAACAUGAAAGCAGUCUGGCCUAGGAGAACACUGGCACUCCGGGCUUUCACAUGCCUGGUUUUCCUCUGUGUAGAAGGUCUGCUCCGUAGCUUGUACAGUGGAAACAGUGGGAGUCAAAAUCAGAACACUUGGACUCAAGCCUCUGUGUGAUCACUAGAUGGUUCUGUGGCCCUGAGCAAGCCACCCCAUAUCAGCUGUCUUAUCAGUGAAUGAAAAAAUGACUAACUUGGCUUCUUUGGGGGCGACUGUAAGGAUGAAAGGAAACACUAUGUGCAAGGCCUUUUGGAAGACCAUACAAAAAUAUGAUAUGAAUAUAUUAAAAUGCACAAUGAGAAAGCCAAGCUUUUGUUUCACAUGUUUCCCCUGUGACCACUUCUCCAGAGACAGACAAGGUUAAGUUUCUUAUAUUUUCUUCCUGAAGUCAUCCAAGUCUAUGGGUGCGCCUUGACUCAAAUUGGCCUGCAGAGUAAGUUCUGGAGUGCAGCUGGUUAUUUCCCCCACAUCCCCAUAUAACCUAGAGCUCUCUCCUCAGUGGCACUCACAGAGAAACCACCUUCUCUUGUCAAAUGGUGGUAUUCCAUGGGAGGCUGGGCUGCCGUGUUUGCGGCAAUCCCCGUUCCUGAACAUUUUUGGUUCCUUAGAGUCCUCCUUUUUCUUUUAUAGACUGUGAUGCCAUAAAUAUAUCUGUAUAUAUCGCUAGAUUUUUGUAGCACUGACUUUUUAAAAUAACUAGAUGAACUAUGAGACCAUUAUUCUCUCUUUUAUAGAAUUUGCAUAAUUCUGUACACCUUGAACUGUAGACAAAAAUAUAUAUUUAAUGUUGAAUGUGUGCUUAAUCCGAUCAUUUCCAUCAGAACCCAGUACUGCAACAAGGACCUGACGACAGGGUUGUACUUUUGUCCACACACAGUUGUGGACAAAAGAAUUUUAAAAAGAAUUAAUUAAGAAGAAUUAAUUAAAGAAUUAAAAAAAGAAAUGUCACCGAGUCUUCACUUUUUUUUUGUCUUCACUAUUUUUUAAAACAAUAACAACAAAAAGUAGCAGAGUGUUCUAUCAUUUAGUAGGCAUUUCACAAAUACUGUCUUUUCUAAUGUCUCUCAUUUAGUACUUAGUAGCAUAAAAAAAAUUCAUAAAAGCUAAGAACUACAAGGGACCCUAAGGUACUUCUCAUCUAAUCACCUUUUCCAAAGAGCAAAUACUUUGUAAGAUUCCUUUAGUAUAUUGAAAGGGUGAUCAUAGGUUGGAUCAAAGGAAAACACAUUUUAUAACUAAGCUUACAUGAGAGGAAGUCAUGGCCGAAGCAACACAUUUGUCAGAAACAAGCCGAAUAAACAAGCAAACGGAUCUGAAUCUGGGACCGACCUGUAGGAGCUGGUGAGCUCGUAAUCUAGAAUCACAUUUGCUGUGAUCACACCACUCAGUGCGUCAAUGUGGAAUGCUUCCCCUUGGUUGCCAGAGAGAAUGGAAUAUUCGGUGAGGCCAUUCAUCCCACUGUCCAGGUCCACAGCAAAAACCUGUGAGGAAGCAGCUCUUCUAUUAGAUAAGGGUUCAAUCUACAAGAUGAGUUAAAAAAUUUUUAACUGUCUGUUUUUCAGACAAAUGCAUGAUGAAACAAUCACAAAUUGUCAAACACUUCAAAAACAAUGAUCAAAGGAAUGGCAACAAAUGGCUGAAGCUCACGUUUAUAACAUAGUAGGUAACGGGUGGGAAAAGUACUCUGCAGGCCCAUUCAAAGGACUUUCAAACAACUUUCAGAAGGAGUAGCACAUGUUUUGAACUACAGAUUUAAGCAAGACGCAAAAACACAGGGAUACCUCAGAGAUAUUGAGGGUUCAGUUCCAGACCACCCAAAUCCAAAAAUAUUGUAAUAAAGCAAGUCAAAUGAAUUUUUU